rnacentral:rRNA from 1 species
GCUUGUCUCAAAGAUUAAGCCAUGCAUGUCUAAGUAUAAACGACUUUAUACAGUGAAACUGCGAAUGGCUCAUUAAAUCAGUUAUAGUUUAUUUGAUAAUACCUUACUACUUGGAUAACCGUGGUAAUUCUAGAGCUAAUACAUGCGUCAGAACCCAACUUUACGGAAGGGUCGUGUUUAUUAGAUACAAAACCAACAUCUCGUUGGUGAUUCAUAAUAACCAAGCGAAUCGUCGGUUUACCGACGAUAGAUCGUUCAAGUUUCUGACCUAUCAGCUUUGGUCGGUAGGGUAUUGGCCUACCGAGGCAAUGACGGGUAACGGAGAAUUAGGGUUCGAUUCCGGAGAGGGAGCCUGAGAAACGGCUACCACAUCCAAGGAAGGCAGCAGG